rnacentral:rRNA from 1 species
GAUGAACGCUGGCGGCGUGCCUAAUACAUGCAAGUCGAGCGAACGGACGAGGAGCUUGCUUCUCUGAUGUUAGCGGCGGACGGGUGAGUAACACGUGGAUAACCUACCUAUAAGACUGGGAUAACUUCGGGAAACCGGAGCUAAUACCGGAUGAUAUUUUGAACCGCAUGGUUCAAUAGUGAAAGACGGUCUUGCUGUCACUUAUAGAUGGAUCCGCGCUGCAUUAGCUAGUUGGUAAGGUAACGGCUUACCAAGGCAACGAUGCAUAGCCGACCUGAGAGGGUGAUCGGCCACACUGGAACUGAGACACGGUCCAGACUCCUACGGGAGGCAGCAGUAGGGAAUCUUCCGCAAAGGGCGAAAGCCUGACGGAGCAACGCCGCGUGAGUGAUGAAGGUCUUCGGAUCGUAAAACUCUGUUAUUAGGGAAGAACAAAUGUGUAAGUAACUGUGCACAUCUUGACGGUACCUAAUCAGAAAGCCACGGCUAACUACGUG